rnacentral:lncRNA from 1 species
GUCGGCUAACAAGGACACAGGGGACACGAUUUACCCAGGUUCAGGGCCUCAAUGAGGUAAUACCCCUACGUCCUGCUUGUCGGAUCUGUAUUGAUGAGUCGAUUACAAUGGGGUUCCGCAGUGUGACAUCCCAAAAUUUUCAAACUUUGCAUCAUGCACUUGCAUCCAUGAGCAUCGUGCCACUCGUGCAUUUUAAACACAUUUUAAAUCUUGUUUUUGAAUUAAAAAUCUCAAAAGCAAAUAUUUUUUCUAUUUGAUCGUUGCGUCUCAUCUCCUCUUUUUGCAAUUUGUAUUUCAACCCAAUGGGGUUUGGAAAUAAAAGGGUUUAUUGCAUCAAUGAGCUACCCCAAAAUAAAUUGUAUUUAAAUGGCAGUUGAAAAACUAUUUUGUUUUAUUAUUAUUAAAGCCCUAAAGGCAAUUUGAUAAGCAAAACUAUUUUUUAAAUAUUUUAUUGGAGGAAAUCAGGUCCCAGAGGCUAAAACAUUUGAGGAUUUGAUUUUAUAAAAAUUUUGAAAAUUUAUUUGGUUUGAUUUGGAGUUCAAAAUCAAUAGUUAUAAAAGAAAACAGAAAAAGGAAAAAGAAAAGAACAAAAAAAAAAAAGAAACCGGACCGACCCAACUGGGCCGGCCCGCUUACCUAGCGUGCCCGACCAAGCCAGCCGCAGCCCAACUAGCCGGCCCCGCAGCGCGCGCCUGCUGCCUGCCCCUGACAGGUGGACCCCACCUGUCAGGGUCUUCUUCCCGAACAGGCAAGUGCCCUCGAGUCACGUCGCGACGCCCGCGAGCGCCAUCUUCGCCGCUUCCCUCAAUCCCGUGAUCCCCGCAGUUUUCCAAGCACGUCACUAUAAAGCCGACGCCUCCCUCUCUAUUCUCCCUCUCCUCGCUCUCUCAAUCGCGUGGCCGCGCCGCCAAAAUCUCUCGCCGGUGAGGCCUAGACCCUCAGCCCAACUCCCUCUUCUUCCUCUUUCCUUUGCGCAUAUUUAGACGCGUCUAUAUCUUCGUUUGGUUCCCUGUAGCAUGGUGUCCAUCGUCGGCCGAAGCUCACUGCCGCUGCCAUUCGUCGCGAGGAUCACCCACUCGUCUCCGUCCCCCCCGAGGGGAACCAUGGCUGCCAUCUACUUCGGCACGUUGCGCCGCACCCCCUCUGCUCUUUUCCCGAGUUCGAAGACUCCUCGAAGCGCUCCGCCGCCACUUUCCCCAAGCCGCCGCCGCCGGAGCAUCGCCGGAAACCUAAGCCGCCGCCGGAGUUGAGGUAGGCCGCCUCCCGUCUGUCCGAUCUCCAUCAACGGUCUAGAUUAGACCGGUUAAUCGAAGGGUACCUUUUAAUCUGAGCCGUCCAUUCUCCCUUAAGUUAGAUCCAACGGCCAUCUUCUAAUUUUAUUCCUGAAUUGGUACCGACCAGUCACAGCAUGCCACGUGUCCCUUGUUUAGGAUUAAACUUAUUUCCUUGACCGAAUUAAUUUGUAACUUUGCAGAAAAAGCCCAAGAAGUUCAAACACUCAUAUCUUUCAAACCGUUUGGCCAAAUUUAGCGUUCUGCACCUUUUUGAAAUCCUCUCGGCCUGUUUAAUCUUUUGGCAUAGUUUAGUUGUAAAUUUGAAUACUAAACCCAGUCAAAUUGCAGAAAGGCUUUUAAUGCCAUUUAAUUCACACCUUUUGAUUUAAAAAUCCUUUUUGCAUGAAACCAACUCUAAAAAUUAUGUUUUGAUGUCCUCUAUCCAGUAGGACC